rnacentral:tRNA from 1 species
AGGAACGUGGUGAAAUUGGUAAACACGUCGGACUUAAAAUCCGUUGUCAAUAAUUGACUUGAGGGUUCAAGUCCCUCCGUUCCUA